ACCAAGUCAAAACAUAUGAGUAUAUUAAUAUUAUAGGCUACAUGACUCAGGGCAUCAGCUAAUCAGAUGGUCUGCAUUUAUAACUACUACAGUCAUUAUACCCACACAGCCCGACACAAAAUACAGAAGUUAGCCUAACACACACAACUAUCAACCAUUGAUUUAUUAUUAAUUCAUUUAUUAUUUUUAACAGUCUCAUGUUCCUAUGCCUACAGGAAAAUCAUAUGUUACCAAAGCAGUCUUCCACCUCCCCCUCUUCCAAAACAGAGCCACAUACAAUGUCAUCAUCUGGUAAUCUCAUGCUAACGUUAACGUUACAGCGUCACUAAUGACAGAUAUGAAAACAUUUUCAUAAUGUUAACGUCCACUGACUUUUCUAACGUUACGUUAGGUCUUCAGUUCAGAUAAACAACUUACUUUAACGUUACUUCACACACACACACACACACACACACACACACACACACACACACACACACACACACACACACACACACACACACACACACACACACACACACACACACACACACACACACACACACACACACACACACACACACACACACCACAGCAAAUCGCAAAGUGUUAAAAUCCCAGAGUAUUCAUGACCAGAGUAGAUUUUAUACACUUUGGUGUUGAAUAGGCACUAAGUACAUUUUUUGGGGUGUACCAGAAACACUCUUGGGUGUUGUCUCUAAGUAUAAUGCUGGUGUAGAGUAAUUUAAGUGUUUAUUUUAGGAUGAUGGACUCCCUGAGUGUACAACGGUUGAGUGUCCAACUAUCCCGGCGGCACGUCGGUUUAGGUUUCGAUUCGUCAUUGGCUCGCUGCGCCUUCUCAUUGGUUGAAUCUAGAGACAUGUGACCGUUUGUCCUCUUCCACACUACGCAGCAAACUGUUUCGGCAGAGACGGUUGACUAGAGAGGAUCGAAUCAAUAUCGCCAAGGAAUUGCUCCGAGUGAGCGAAGACAUUUUUGAACUUCAUGGGAAUGUAAACAGGUUGGGAUAGUGACAUGGCCUCACUUCUCCUGCUGGUCUACCUCCUGCCACCACCUCCAAGUGGAAAGAAGGGAGCUGUCAAAAUCAGUAUCCGGGAAGCUGUGGAUCGUGUAGUGAAGUUUCACAGGGUAAUUGUAUCCUGAUAAUUUGGCAUGCCCAUGGCAUGCCGCCUGAGCUUGUGUGUUGCUGAUGGAUGUCACAAUCUCUGUGUUGGCCAAUCUACUUAUCGAGUCUUGAAAACAAAAUGGCGUCGACGGGUGAUCUACUGAUGGUAUUGUGUGUAUAAAAUGUACUUUUUAAUAAACAAUCUGUACACUUACAAAGUUCUCAAUGCCUCGUUUUAUAUGUUAAUACCCUUAUUGAACUACCAAAGAAGUGUCGGGCUACUUCUAGCCUUUUAAAUGGUUUAAAAUAGCGAUUUAGUUUUUACCAUAACCACUGCCCCAUUGUUCCAAGUUUAUAGCGUUUUGAUAGAAUCGGCUAAAAACAGCCAACUGAAGAAAGCGUCUAUAUGCGUUUUUUUGUGCUCCAAAACGAACGUUUCAACUCAUUAUCAUACAAAACAUAUCCCAAAUCCGUUUUACACCGGAAUUGCCCUUUAAUUGGUUGACGGGGACACAUUUAUUUAUUUAUUUUCAAGUUGUUUGUUACAUCAUAUAAAUGUAAAACUAAAUAUGGUUCUUGAUGUAAAAUAAUUAAAGUUUAACUAUAAUGUUAACUAUAUUAUAUAUGUAUGCACUGUAACAACAACAGCAGCAAGAAUCUAAUGUGUAGACUAUUCAUUCAUGAAGUGUUGAUAAUUCACCUCAAAGGUGUUGGUUGUACACCAGUCAGAGUACAUUCUCACUCUAGAAGUAUUAAAUAAUCAGCUCUGCGAAGUGCUACAAAGCACUGACUUGGAGUACAUAUUUUCUCUCUCUGGGGUUCUAGGUUUACACUGCAGGUGUAAGGAAGCACUGAAUGAGU